rnacentral:tRNA from 1 species
GCCCGGGUAGCUCAGUCGGUAGAGCAUUGGACUUUUAAUCCAAGGGUCCGGGAA